rnacentral:rRNA from 1 species
AGUGAACGCUGGCGGCAGGCCUAACACAUGCAAGUCGAGCGGCAGCGCGGGGGCAACCCUGGCGGCGAGCGGCGGACGGGUGAGGAAUGCAUCGGAAUCUACCUCGUUGUGGGGGAUAACGUAGGGAAACUUACGCUAAUACCGCAUACGACCUACGGGUGAAAGUGGGGGACCUUCGGGCCUCACGCGAUGAGAUGAGCCGAUGCCGGAUUAGCUAGUUGGCGGGGUAAAGGCCCACCAAGGCGACGAUCCGUAGCUGGUCUGAGAGGAUGAUCAGCCACACUGGAACUGAGACACGGUCCAGACUCCUACGGGAGGCAGCAGUGGGGAAUAUUGGACAAUGGGCGCAAGCCUGAUCCAGCCAUGCCGCGUGUGUGAAGAAGGCCUC